rnacentral:rRNA from 1 species
GACGAACGCUGGCGGCGUGGAUUAGGCAUGCAAGUCGAACGGUAGGAUACCUUCGGGUAUCUGAGAGUGGCGAACGGGUGAGUAACACGUAGGUGAUCUACCCUCAAGAUUGGGACAACCCAGGGAAACUUGGGCUAAUACCGGAUGAAAGCAGCAGUGAUGUUGUUUGAAAGGUGGCGUAGGCUGCCGUUUGGGGAUGAGCCUGCGCUCUAUUAGUUAGUUGGCGGGGUAAAGGCCCACCAAGGCGAUGAUAGAUAGGCGGCCUUAACGGGUGGUCGCCCACACUGGGAUUGAGAUACGGCCCAGACUCCUACGGGAGGCAGCAGUCGAGAAUAGUCUACAAUGGCCGAAAGGCUGAUAGUGCGACGCCGCGUGAACGAAGAAGCCCUUCGGGGUGUAAAGUUCUUUUAUAUGUGAGCAGUGCUUUCUAUGUGAACAGCAUGGGGAGAGAGAUAUUAGCAUAUGAAUAAGCAACGGCUAACUCCGUGCCAGC